rnacentral:rRNA from 1 species
GAUGAACGCUGGCGGCGUGCCUAAUACAUGCAAGUCGAACGCUUCACUCCGGUGGAGAGUGUCCACCGGGUGGGUAAUACAUAAGUAACCUGGCAUCUACAGGGGGAGAACUGCUGGCAACGACAGCUGAGACCGCCUAGGAGACGAGAUCUCAUGAACCAUAUAAGAAUAUUCCUACUGGCCUGGGAGUUGAUGGAGCUAUGGUGCAUUAGCUAGUUGGUAGGGUAACGGCCUACCAAGGCGACGAUGCGUAGCCGACCUGAGAGGGUGAGCGGCCACACUGGGACUGAGACACGGCCCAGACUCCUACGGGAGGCAGCAGUAGGGAAUUUUCGGCAAUGGGCGAAACUCUGACCGAGCAACGCCGCGUGAGGGAAGAAGUAUUUCGGAUCGUAAACCUCUGUUAUAGGGGAAGAACGGUGGAGAUAGGGAAUGAUCUCCAAGUGACGGUACUCAAUAAGAAAGCCACGGCUAACUACGUG